AAUAAGUUCGAUUUUGAGGUUAACACAUGCCGGUGGAUCGGGUGUGAUUUGUGCUCGCACUGGACGCAUACGGAUUGUGCGAUUAGGUUUGGGCAGAUUGGGACUGGGCAGUCGGCUAAGAGCGGAGCUGGGCAUGCUGAGAUGCUGUUCAGGUGUCAGGCUUGUAAUAGGACUUCGGAGUUGUUGGGCUGGGUGAAGGAUGUUUUUCAGCACUGUGCUCCGGCGUGGGAUAGGGAGGCGCUGAUGCGGGAGCUUGAGUUUGUUAGUAGAAUCUUUCGGAUGAGUGAGGAUCCAAAGGGGAGGAAGUUGUAUUGGAAGUGUGGGGAUCUUAUUGAAAAGAUGAAGAGCGGUGCUACGGAAUCGAUGGCUUGCCGGAUGCUGCUAUUAUUUUUUCAAGAGCUCGAAAUUGACUCCGCGAAGAAUCAUGAAACCGAAGAAGCCGGCCGUCUCCUUGCUCCGCAGGAGGCGUGCAACCGGAUCGCAGAGGUAGUCCAAGAAGCCGUACGAAAGAUGGAGAUAGUAGCAGAGGAGAAAAUGCGCAUGCUCAAACGAGCUCGCCUUGCUGCUGAGGCUUGUGAACGCGAGUUGGAGGACAAGGCGAGAGAAGUCGCGGAAAUCAAGAUGGAGAGGCAGCGGAAGAAGCAGCAGG
rnacentral:misc_RNA from 1 species